GCUAGUAAUGGCAGGUCAGCAUACUGCCGUGAAUACGUUCCCGGGCCUUGUACACACCGCCCGUCACACCAUGAGAGUUGGGGAUACCCGAAGCCUGUGAGCUAACAGUAAUGAAGCAGCAGUCGAAGGUAGAAUCAAUGAUUGGGGUGAAGUCGUAACAAGGUACC
rnacentral:rRNA from 1 species